rnacentral:rRNA from 1 species
UACGUAGGGACCGAGCGUUGUCCGGAAUUACUGGGCGUAAAGAGCUCGUAGGCGGUGUGUCGCGUCGGCCGUGAAACCUGCAGCUUAACUGUGGCUUGCGGUCGAUACGGGCAUCACUGGAGUUCGGCAGGGGAGACUGGAAUUCCUGGUGUAGCGGUGAAAUGCGUAGAUAUCCGGAGGAAUACCAGUGGCGAAGGCGGCUUCUGGUCUGAGUUCUGACGCUGAGGAGCGAAAGCCAGGG